GACGAACGCUGGCGGCGUGCUUAACACAUGCAAGUCGAACGGAAAGGCCCUGCUUUUGUGGGGUGCUCGAGUGGCGAACGGGUGAGUAACACGUGAGUAACCUGCCCUUGACUUUGGGAUAACUUCAGGAAACUGGGGCUAAUACCGGAUAGGAGCUCCUGCUGCAUGGUGGGGGUUGGAAAGUUUCGGCGGUUGGGGAUGGACUCGCGGCUUAUCAGCUUGUUGGUGGGGUAGUGGCUUACCAAGGCUUUGACGGGUAGCCGGCCUGAGAGGGUGACCGGCCACAUUGGGGCUGGGAUACGGACCAGACCCCUAAGGGGGGCAACAGGGGGGAAUAUUGCAAAAUGGGCGGAAGGCUGAUGCAGCAACGCCGCGUGCGGGAUGACGGCCUUCGGGUUGUAAACCGCUUUCGCCUGUGACGAAGCGGGAGUGACGGUAAUGGGUAAAGAAGCACCGGCUAACUACGUG
rnacentral:rRNA from 1 species